GACGAACGCUGGCGGCGUGCUUAACACAUGCAAGUCGAACGGAAAGGCCCUGCUUUUGUGGGGUUCUCGAGUGGCGAACGGGUGAGUAACACGUGAGUAACCUGCCCCUGACUUUGGGAUAACAUCAGGAAACUGGGGCUAAUACCGGAUAGGAGCUCCUGCUGCAUGGUGGGGGUUGGAAAGUUUCGGCGGUUGGGGAUGGACUCGCGGCUUAUCAGCUUGUUUGUGGGGUAGUGGCUUACCAAGGCUUUGACGGGUAGCCGGCCUGAGAGGGUGACCGGCCACCUUGGGACUGAGGUACGGAGCAGAAUCCUAUGGGAGGCAACAGUGGGAAGCCUUGCGCAAUGAGCGGAAGCGUGAUGCGGAGGCGCCGGGUGCGGAAUACCGGCCUACGAGUUGUGAACAGAUUUCGAAUGUGCCGAAGAGUGCUUGACGGUAAUGAGUAAAAAAGCACCGGCUAACUACGUG
rnacentral:rRNA from 1 species